rnacentral:rRNA from 1 species
GACGAACGCUGGCGGCGUGCUUAACACAUGCAAGUCGAACGAAGAGCGAUGGAAGCUUGCUUCUAUCAAUCUUAGUGGCGAACGGGUGAGUAACGCGUAAUCAACCUGCCCUUCAGAGGGGGACAACAGUUGGAAACGACUGCUAAUACCGCAUACGAUCUAAUCUCGGCAUCGAGGAUAGAUGAAAGGUGGCCUCUACAUGUAAGCUAUCACUGAAGGAGGGGAUUGCGUCUGAUUAGCUAGUUGGAGGGGUAACGGCCCACCAAGGCGAUGAUCAGUAGCCGGUCUGAGAGGAUGAACGGCCACAUUGGGACUGAGACACGGCCCAGACUCCUACGGGAGGCAGCAGUGGGGAAUCUUCCGCAAUGGACGAAAGUCUGACGGAGCAACGCCGCGUGAGUGAUGACGGCCUUCGGGUUGUAAAGCUCUGUUAAUCGGGACGAAAGGCCUUCCUGCGAAUAGUGAGAAAGGAAUUGACGGAACCCGGAAUAAA